rnacentral:rRNA from 1 species
AGUGAACGCUGGCGGCAGGCCUAACACAUGCAAGUCGAGCGGCAGCGGGUCCUUCGGGAUGCCGGCGAGCGGCGGACGGGUGAGGAAUGCGUCGGAAUCUGCCUUUUUGUGGGGGAUAACGUAGGGAAACUUACGCUAAUACCGCAUACGACCUACGGGUGAAAGUGGGGGACCGCAAGGCCUCACGCAGAAAGAUGAGCCGACGUCGGAUUAGCUAGUUGGCGGGGUAAAGGCCCACCAAGGCGACGAUCCGUAGCUGGUCUGAGAGGAUGAUCAGCCACCCUGGAACUGAGACACGGUCCCGACUCCUACGGGAGGCAGCAGUGGGGAAUAUUGGACAAUGGGCGCAAGCCUGAACCAGCCAUGCCGCGUGUGUGAAGAAGGCCUUCGGGUUGUAAAGCACUUUUGUCCGGAAAGAAAUCCUGUCGGCUAAUACCCGGCGGGGAUGACGGUACCGGAAGAAUAAGCACCGGCUAACUUCGUG